AGUGAACGCUGGCGGCAGGCCUAACACAUGCAAGUCGAGCGGCAGCGCAGCAGUAGCAAUACUGUGGGCGGCGAGCGGCGGACGGGUGAGGAAUACAUCGGAAUCUACCUUCUUGUGGGGGAUAACGUAGGGAAACUUACGCUAAUACCGCAUAAGACCUGAGGGUGAAAGCGGGGGACCGCAAGGCCUCGCGCGAGAAGAUGAGCCGAUGUCGGAUUAGCUAGUUGGUGGGGUAAAGGCUCACCAAGGCGACGAUCCGUAGCUGGUCUGAGAGGAUGAUCAGCCACACUGGAACUGAGACACGGUCCAGACUCCUACGGGAGGCAGCAGUGGGGAAUAUUGGACAAUGGCGCAAGCCUGAUCCAGCCAUGCCGCGUGUGUGAAGAAGGCCUCGGGUUGUAAAGCACUUUUGUUGGGGAAGAAAAGAUCUGGGUUAAUAACCGGUUCAUGACGGUACCAAGAAUAAGCACCGACUAACUCGUGCCAGCAGCCGCGGUAAUACGAA
rnacentral:rRNA from 1 species